rnacentral:rRNA from 1 species
UGCAAGUCGAGCGGUAACAGAUCCAGCUUGCUGGAUGCUGACGAGCGGCGGACGGGUGAGUAAUGCAUAGGAAUCUGCCCGAUAGUGGGGGAUAACCUGGGGAAACCCAGGCUAAUACCGCAUACGUCCUACGGGAGAAAGGGGGCUCCGGCUCCCGCUAUGGGAUGAGCCUAUGUCGGAUUAGCUAGUUGGUGAGGUAACGGCUCACCAAGGCCACGAUCCGUAGCUGGUCUGAGAGGAUGAUCAGCCACAUCGGGACUGAGACACGGCCCGAACUCCUACGGGAGGCAGCAGUGGGGAAUAUUGGACAAUGGGGGAAACCCUGAUCCAGCCAUGCCGCGUGUGUGAAGAAGGCCCUCGGGUUGUAAAGCACUUUCAGCGAGGAAGAACGCCUAGCGGUUAAUACCCGCUAGGAAAGACAUCACUCGCAGAAGAAGCACCGGCUAACUCCGUGCCAGCAGCCGCGGUAAUACGGAGGGUGCAAGCGUUAAUCGGAAUUACUGGGCGUAAAGCGCGCGUAGGUGGCUUGAUAAGCCGGUUGUGAAAGCCCCGGGCUCAACCUGGGAACGGCAUCCGGAACUGUCAAGCUAGAGUGCAGGAGAGGAAGGUAGAAUUCCCGGUGUAGCGGUGAAAUGCGUAGAGAUCGGGAGGAAUACCAGUGGCGAAGGCGGCCUUCUGGACUGACACUGACACUGAGGUGCGAAAGCGUGGGUAGCAAACAGGAUUAGAUACCCUGGUAGUCCACGCCGUAAACGAUGUCGACCAGCCGUUGGGUGCCUAGCGCACUUUGUGGCGAAGUUAACGCGAUAAGUCGACCGCCUGGGGAGUACGGCCGCAAGGUUAAAACUCAAAUGAAUUGACGGGGGCCCGCACAAGCGGUGGAGCAUGUGGUUUAAUUCGAUGCAACGCGAAGAACCUUACCUACUCUUG